rnacentral:rRNA from 1 species
GAGGGCAAGUCUGGUGCCAGCAGCCGCGGUAAUUCCAGCUCCAAUAGCGUAUAUUAAAAUUGUUGCAGUUAAAAAGCUCGUAGUUGAAUUUCUGCUGCUCCGCAUUUUCCCUUUGAGGGGUUUUUGCGCUGUGGCUUAUUUCGGACUGUGUUAUGCACUGUCCGGAUGUUUACUUUGAGAAAAUUAGAGUGCUCAAAGCAGGCUUUUGCCUUGAAUAGUUUAGCAUGGAAUAAUAAAGUAGGACUUUGGUUCUAUUUUGUUGGUUUUAGGUACCAAAGUAAUGGUUAAUAGGAACAGUUGGGGGCAUUCGUAUUUAACUGUCAGAGGUGAAAUUCUUAGAUUUGUUAAAGACGAACUACUGCGAAAGCAUUUGCCAAGGAUGUUUUCAUUAAUCAAGAACGAAAGUUAGGGGAUCGAAGACGAUCAGAUACCGUCGUAGUCCUAACCAUAAACUAUGCCGACUAGAGAUUGGAGGUCGUCAGUUUUUACGACUCCUUCAGCACCUUGAGAG